CCUACGGGCGGCAGCAGUGGGGAAUAUUGGACAAUGGGGGCAACCCUGAUCCAGCCAUGCCGCGUGUGUGAAGAAGGCCCUCGGGUUGUAAAGCACUUUCAGUGAGGAAGAACGCCUGGUGGUUAAUACCCAUCAGGAAAGACAUCACUCACAGAAGAAGCACCGGCUAACUCCUGCCAGCAGCCGCGGUAAUACGGAGGGUGCGAGCGUUAAUCGGAAUUACUGGGCGUAAAGCGCGCGUAGGUGGCUUGAUAAGCCGGUUGUGAAAGCCCCGGGCUCAACCUGGGAACGGCAUCCGGAACUGUCAAGCUAGAGUGCAGGAGAGGAAGGUAGAAUUCCCGGUGUAGCGGUGAAAUGCGUAGAGAUCGGGAGGAAUACCAGUGGCGAAGGCGGCCUUCUGGACUGACACUGACACUGAGGUGCGAAAGCGUGGGUAGCAAACAGGAUUAGAUACCCCGGUAGUC
rnacentral:rRNA from 1 species